UUUCCGUAGGUGAACCUGCGGAAGGAUCAUUAACGAGUAGGGGUCAUUCGGGCCCGACUUCUAACCCAUUGUUUAAUUACUAUGUUGCCUUGGCGGGCCCGUUUCACGACCGCCGGUAGUCCUCGGACUUAUCGCCCGUGCCCGUCAAUAGCCUUCUACAAACUCUUGAUAAAUUGUGAUGUCUGAGUAAUAAAUGGACUAGUUAAAACUUUCAACAACGGAUCUCUUGGUUCUG
rnacentral:misc_RNA from 1 species